UUUCAUCUUUUUUUUGUGUUUUUCUUCUUAAUUUUUGCUAUUCUCUUUUUUUUAUUUUGUCAAAAGGGGAGGGGGGAUUUUAUGAGAUAUAUCUUAAGUUUUUAUGCGUGUAUAAUGUUAAAUGUGUCAGGGGGCUUAAGUAAUUUGUACGCUCCUCAAAUUUUCUAAAUAUUAAAAAGGGGAGACUGAAAUUGCUUUGUCAAUAAUAGUAUAACUAGAUGGUAACCUGCAAGUUGCACGGAGGUUUUGAAAAAAAUAAAAAUCAAUUUUGUAUUAAUUUGAAUAUUG
rnacentral:lncRNA from 1 species